rnacentral:miRNA from 1 species
UCAUGACUCUAGAAGAAUCAGC